CGUCGAGCUACUACGGUAGUGAAGUCAUUGAUGCCAUGCUUCCAGGAAAAGCCUCUAAGCUUCAGAUUGUAAGGAAUCGUACCCCAAACCGACACAGGUGGUCGGGUAGAGAAUACCAAGGCGCUUGAGAGAACUCGGGUGAAGGAACUAGGCAAAAUGGUACCGUAACUUCGGGAGAAGGUACGCUCUUGAUGGUGAAGUCCCUUGCGGAUGGAGCUGACGAGAGUCGCAGAUACCAGGUGGCUGCAACUGUUUAUUAAAAACACAGCACUGUGCAAAAUCGUAAGAUGACGUAUACGGUGUGACGCCUGCCCGGUGCCGGAAGGUUAAUUGAUGGGGUUAGCGUAAGCGAAGCUCUUGAUCGAAGCCCCGGUAAACGGCGGCCGUAACUAUAACGGUCCUAAGGUAGCGAAAUUCCUUGUCGGGUAAGUUCCGACCUGCACGAAUGGCGUAAUGAUGGCCACGCUGUCUCCACCCGAGACUCAGUGAAAUUGAAAUCGCUGUGAAGAUGCAGUGUACCCGCGGCUAGACGGAAAGACCCCGUGAACCUUUACUACAGCUUGGCACUGAACAUUGAACCUACAUGUGUAGGAUAGGUGGGAGGCUUUGAAGACGUGACGCCAGUUGCGUUGGAGCCGUCCUUGAAAUACCACCCUUGUAUGUUUGAUGUUCUAACGUUGGCCCCUAAUCGGGGUUGCGGACAGUGCCUGGUGGGUAGUUUGACUGGGGCGGUCUCCUCCCAAAGAGUAACGGAGGAGCACGAAGGUGGGCUAAUCACGGUUGGACAUCGUGAGGUUAGUGCAAUGGCAUAAGCCCGCUUAACUGCGAGAAUGACGGUUCGAGCAGGUGCGAAAGCAGGUCAUAGUGAUCCGGUGGUUCUGAAUGGAAGGGCCAUCGCUCAACGGAUAAAAGGUACUCCGGGGAUAACAGGCUGAUACCGCCCAAGAGUUCAUAUCGACGGCGGUGUUUGGCACCUCGAUGUCGGCUCAUCACAUCCUGGGGCUGAAGUCGGUCCCAAGGGUAUGGCUGUUCGCCAUUUAAAGUGGUACGCGAGCUGGGUUUAGAACGUCGUGAGACAGUUCGGUCCCUAUCUGCCGUGGGCGUUGGAAGAUUGAAGGGGGCUGCUCCUAGUACGAGAGGACCGGAGUGGACGAACCUCUGGUGUUCGGGUUGUGUCGCCAGACGCAUUGCCCGGUAGCUAAGUUCGGAAUCGAUA
rnacentral:rRNA from 1 species